rnacentral:rRNA from 1 species
ACGAAGGGUGCAAGCGUUGUUCGGAAUUACUGGGCGUAAAGGGCGUGUAGGCGGAUUACAAAGAUAGAGGUGAAAGGCCUGGGCUCAACCUGGGAACUGCCUUUAUAACUUGUAGUCUAGAGAUCGAGAGAGGAUAGCGGAAUUCCUAGUGUAGAGGUGAAAUUCGUAGAUAUUAGGAAGAACACCAGUGGCGAAGGCGGCUAUCUGGCUCGAUACUGACGCUGAGGCGCGAAAGCGUGGGGAGCAAACAGG